rnacentral:lncRNA from 1 species
CAAAAAGCUGUGUUGGGGCCAAGCCUCUGUGUGGGCAGGGCGACUUCUGGCUUGGCUCCUUUUGUGUUUGUCACAAAAUGAUUUCAUAAACGAGUUUAAGGAAAACCCCAAAACAAAGGAGAAAAACCUCUUUGGCAAAACGACAGUGGGGAUGGAGCUAUCUUGCUCCAGGACAACUUCUUAUGAGGAUUCUGUGUGGCUGUUCCGAGUGGUGAGGAGCCUGAGGACAAAGGCAGGAUGGCCAACCAUGAAUCAGAGAUGAUGGGAACGAGUUAACAGCCACGGGAGGGACCUCAGCAGACCCCCGAGUUCUGUGGCCAGUGCAGUGCACUCACAGCACCUCCCAGAAGAAGUCAGUGCCAACAGCUGAGACCAACAAUGGGGAUGUAGAUUUCCACCUUCAGGAAUUCACUCACUACAUGUUGGUCCUUUUACAUUUAGUUGGACACACUUUACAAUUUAUUGCUAAAUAUUUUCUGGAGCAUACUUCAGUUAUGUCUAUUAUAUCAGCUUUUCUAAAAUAUUCAUAGAUACAUAGGUGUGUGCACGUCUUUCUAUUAUUUUUAUCUCAAUUUUCUGUUGUUUCCUGAUUCCAUGUUGGAAUAAUUUAUUUAAUAGUCACUAAGAGUCAACACCAUGACAAUUUUAUGGGAUUAAAAGAAUUUAAAACCAAUAACGUGGGCUUCCCAUUUCUUCGGUGUGAUUACACAUUGUUUUUAUGAAUAUGUAGACAUAUUAGUUUUAAUGUAGGCAGCGUAUCUU